rnacentral:lncRNA from 1 species
UGAGAAGGGUACUUUACCUCUUUAGCAUUUUUCAUCAAAAUUUGUAACUUCAGUCUAAUGAGAAAAUAUCAGACAAUCCAAAUUGAGGAGCAUUCUACAAAAUGUCCAGUACUCUUCAAAAGUGUCAAGAUCCCCCAAAACAAGACAAGACUAAACAAGACAAGACUAAAAAACUGUCAUAGAUCAGAGAAGAAUGGAGAGACCUGGUGACUAAAUGCUUUGGGCUAUCCUGGAUUGGAUUCUAGAAUAGCAAAUAAGCAACUUUCAGUAAAUACUUUUGUAAUUGCCCAUGAGUUGUCAAGCACUCAUGAGAUGAAGUUCCAACUCUACAGAUGAAAGCCCUGUUUUUGAAUCAAGCACUUCAUGAGUAAGGAUUUCACAAAGCUGCAAAAUCUGCUCUUGAGAACCCCUGACAACUAAAUAUUCCAUGGCUUCCACUGAUAAUCAUGCUGUCAGUUAAGUAUUUUGCUUUUUUUAAACAGCUGGGUAUAUUUUUUUCUCUAUGAAAUUCUGUGAAGAGAGUUUGAUGUAGCAAAUUUUUUUUUUUAAAAGGC